CACAUCCCUCCCCUACAGAAGCCCCCAGAGCAUAGCACCUCACCAUGGACUGGACCUGGAGGCUCCUCCUCUUGGUGACAGCAGCUACAGGCGCCCACGCCAAGGUCCAGCUGGUACAGUCCGGGGCUGAGGCGAAGAAACCUGGGGCCUCAGUGAAGGUCUCCUGCAAGGUUUCUGGAUACACCCUCACCAGAUUAUCCAUGCACUGGGUGCGACAGGCUCCUAGAAAAGGGCUUGAGUGGAUGGGAGGUUUUUAUCCUGUAGAUGGUGAAACAAUAUACGCACAGAAAUUCCAGGGCAGAGUCACCAUGACUGAGGACACGUCUACAGACACAGCCUACAUGGAGAUUAGCAGCCUGAGAUCUGAGGACACAGCCGUGUAUUACUGUGCAACAGACACAGUGUGA